GAUAGCUCUGGGGUUUUUGGAUGCAGAGUACUAACCAGCAACCCUGCCAUGCCACUUCACCUUGCAGUCCAAGCAGCGAUCAGUCCCAGAUCUCACAAGCACAGGUCUGUUAUCAACAUCUGAACUGCAGCCGUAGCUCUCCCGGAUCUGGGAGGAGAACCUGCAGCUGGUAUCUACCACUUCUCUACCCCACCGUCAGCCAAGCUUGUGUCUCAUGGUUAUUGAGAAAAGGAUCCAAAUGUGAAGUUUUACUCCAAUGGUUCAAAACCAGAAGACAAAACACCAGAACCAGAACUGUCCUGGUAUGGCUGGAUGCCUGUUACAAUAUGAACACAAACUCAUGA
rnacentral:lncRNA from 1 species